GACGAACGCUGGCGGCGUGCUUAACACAUGCAAGUCGAACGAAGAGCGAUGGAAGCUUGCUUCUAUCAAUCUUAGUGGCGAACGGGUGAGUAACGCGUAAUCAACCUGCCCUUCAGAGGGGGACAACAGUUGGAAACGACUGCUAAUACCGCAUACGAUCUAAUCUCGGCAUCGAGGAUAGAUGAAAGGUGGCCUCUACAUGUAAGCUAUCACUGAAGGAGGGGAUUGCGUCUGAUUAGCUAGUUGGAGGGGUAACGGCCCACCAAGGCGAUGAUCAGUAGCCGGUCUGAGAGGAUGAACGGCCACAUUGGGACUGAGACACGGCCCAGACUCCUACGGGAGGCAGCAGUGGGGAAUCUUCCGCAAUGGACGAAAGUCUGACGGAGCAACGCCGCGUGAGUGAUGACGGCCUUCGGGUUGUAAAGCUCGGUUAAUCGGGACGAAAGGCCUUCUUGCGAAUAGUGAGAAGGAUUGACGGUACCGGAAUAGAAAGCCACGGCUAACUGCGUG
rnacentral:rRNA from 1 species